rnacentral:rRNA from 1 species
AUUGAACGCUGGCGGCAUGCUUUACACAUGCAAGUCGAACGGUAACAGGCCGCAAGGUGCUGACGAGUGGCGAACGGGUGCGUAAUGCAUCGGAACGUGCCCAGUCGUGGGGGAUAACUACUCGAAAGAGUAGCUAAUACCGCAUACGAUCUAUGGAUGAAAGCGGGGGACCGUAAGGCCUCGCGCGAUUGGAGCGGCCGAUGUCAGAUUAGGUAGUUGGUGGGGUAAAGGCUCACCAAGCCAACGAUCUGUAGCUGGUCUGAGAGGACGACCAGCCACACUGGAACUGAGACACGGCCCAGACUCCUACGGGAGGCAGCAGUGGGGAAUUUUGGACAAUGGGCGCAAGCCUGAUCCAGCAAUGCCGCGUGCAGGAAGAAGGCCUUCGGGUUGUAAACUGCUUUUGUACGGAACGAACCGGUUCUGGUUAAUACCCGGGGAUAAUGACGGUACCGUAAGAAUAAGCACCGGCUAACUACGUG